GAUGGAUCAGUUCCAGUCACCAGAACUGUAAGACAUCAACUGAAGGAUACUUAAAUCCUUUGGAGGGAGUGUGGCCCUGCUGGCACCUUGAUUUUGGCCCAUUGAAACUGAGCUUAGACUUCUGACCUGAAGACUAUAAAGGAAUGCAUUUGUGUUGUUUUAAGUAAUUUGUUACAGGAGACAUAGGUUAUAAAAACCCUCAUGUGAGAGAUGCCCUCUUCCCAUACCCAGAGAGAAGGAGCAUCUGUCUCUUUGAAGAUAAAGAGAUGCCAAGAAGAAUCCUAACAAGCUUUGCCUUGUUAAUCAUCUCCCAGUUUAUUACAAUUGCUCCAUACUCCUUAGUCUAUCACAACCUCCACAUGUAUCCCUCAUCAAACUGAGAGUAAAAACACACAGGUCCAACCAUUCCUUUAGUCUUCGUUUCCUUAUGAAGGCUCCCAUGUCAUGUAAAAUUUACAGUAAAUAAAUCUGUAUGCUUUUC